rnacentral:rRNA from 1 species
ACGCAAGGGCACUCUAAUGAGACUGCCGGUGACAACCGGAGAAGGUGGGGAUGACGUCAAGUCCUCAUGGCCCUUAUGGGUAGGGCUUCACACGUCAUACAAUGGUCGGUACAGAGGGUUGCCAAGCCGCGAGGCGGAGCCAAUCCCACAAAGCCGAUCGUAGUCCGGAUUGUUCUCUGCAACUCCGAGAGCAUGAAGUCGGAAUCGCUAGUAAUCGCAGGUCAGCAUACUGCGGUGAAUACCGGUUCCCGGGUCUU